GAUGAACGCUGACAGAAUGCUUAACACAUGCAAGUCGAUGGGGAGGUGGUGCUUGCACCAUGGCAACCAUGGCGGACGGGUGAGUAACGCGUAAGGGACUUACCUGCAGGACUGGGAUAACAGGGGGAAACUCCUGACAAGACCGGAUAAUGUCAUGGAGCUGCAUGGCUUUAUGAUGAAAGGAGACGCCUGCGGAGAGCCUUGCGUCCUAUUAGCUAGUUGGUGAGGUAAUGGCUCACCAAGGCGAAGAUAGGUAGCCGGCCUGAGAGGGUGGACGGCCAAAAGGGGACUGAGAUACGGCCCUUACUCCUACGGGAGGCAGCAGUGGAGAAUAUUGGACAAAGGCGGCAACCCUGAUCCAGCAAUUCUGUGUGAACGAAGAAGGUUUUCGGAUUGUAAAGUGCUUUCAGAAGAGAAGAAGUAAGUGACGGUACCUGCAGAAGAAGCGACGGCUAAAUACGUG
rnacentral:rRNA from 1 species